AAACGCUAUUUAGACAGUUUCAAAGCGCUACGAGCUUGGGAAAGUGGUUUUUCUAACAAACGCAUGUAAGAAUG